UGAUUAAGCCAUGCGAGUCAUAUGUUCUUCGUGAACAUGGCGUACUGCUCAGUAACACGUGGAUAACCUGCCCUUGGGACCGGGAUAACCCCGGGAAACUGGGGAUAAUACCGGAUAACGCAUAUCUGCUGGAAUGCUUUAUGCGUAAAAUGGAUUUGUCUGCCCAAGGAUGGGUCUGCGGCCUAUCAGGUAGUAGUGGGUGUAAUGUACCUACUAGCCUACGACGGGUACGGGUUGUGAGAGCAAGAGCCCGGAGAUGGAUUCUGAGACAUGAAUCCAGGCCCUACGGGGCGCAGCAGGCGCGAAAACUUUACAAUGCGGGAAACCGUGAUAAGGGGACACCGAGUGCCAGCAUCAUAUGUUGGCUGUCCAGAUGUGUAAAAUACAUCUGUUAGCAAGGGCCGGGCAAGACCGGUGCCAGCCGCCGCGGUAACACCGGCGGCCCGAGUGGUGAUCGUGAUUAUUGGGUCUAAAGGGUCCGUAGCCGGUUUGGUCAGUCCUCCGGGAAAUCUGACGGCUCAACCGUUAGGCUUUCGGUGGAUACUGCCAGACUUGGAACCGGGAGAGGUAAGAGGUACUACAGGGGUAGGAGUGAAAUCUUGUAAUCCCUGUGAGACCACCUGUGGCGAAGGCGUCUUACCAGAACGGGUUCGACGGUGAGGGACGAAAGCUGGGGGCACGAACCGGAUUAGAUACCCGGGUAGUCCCAGCCGUAAACGAUGCUCGCUAGGUGUCAGGCAUGGCGCGACCGUGUCUGGUGCCGCAGGGAAGCCGUGAAGCGAGCCACCUGGGAAGUACGGCCGCAAGGCUGAAACUUAAAGGAAUUGGCGGGGGGAGCA
rnacentral:rRNA from 1 species